GACGGGGCCCGCACAAGCGGCGGAGCAUGCGGAUAAUUCGAUGCAACGCGAAGAACUUACCAAGGCUUGACAUACACCGGUAACGCCCAGAGAUGGGUGCCCCUUUGUGGUCGGUGGACAGGUGGUGCAUGGUUGUCGUCAGCUCGUGUCGUGAGAUGUUGGGUUAAGUCCCGCAACGAGCGCAACCCUCGUCCUAUGUUGCCAGCGGGUCAUGCCGGGGACUCAUGGGAGACUGCCGGGGUCAACUCGGAGGAAGGUGGGGAUGACGUCAAAUCAUCAUGCCCCUUAUGUCUUGGGCUUCACGCAUGCUACAAUGGCCGGUACAAAGGGCUGCGAUACCGCGAGGUGGAGCGAAUCCCAGAAAGCCGGUCUCAGUUCGGAUUGGGGUCUGCAACUCGACCCCAUGAAGUCGGAGUCGCUAGUAAUCGCAGAUCAGCAACGCUGCGGUGAAUACGUUCCCGGGCCUU
rnacentral:rRNA from 1 species